AUGGUCUUGCCGCACCGGGCCCUGCCCGCGUACCACUUUGAAGACAGCGACACCACGUACUCCUCGUCGCUGUGGUACUGGCCGUCGCACGACGCCGGUCCGCCACCUCACUCUCCUUGCUGGAAGCCGCUCACCGUCAUCACCACCGGGACGUUCUGUCCAAGUUCAAACUUUGUCGUCCCUGCGGUGUGA
rnacentral:rRNA from 1 species